rnacentral:rRNA from 1 species
AGGGUUUGAUCAUGGCUCAGAACGUACGCUGGCGGCACGCCUAAUACAUGCAAGUCGAACGAAGUAGCAAUACUUAGUGGCAGACGGGUGAGUAAUAUGUAGGUAUCUUCCCUUUGGUGAGGAAUAACACGAGGAAACUUGUGCUAAUACCUCAUAAGUCUUUACGGAGAAAGCUUUAUGCGCCAAUGGAUGAGCCUGCACUUGAUUAGUUUGUUGGUGGGGUAAUGGCCUACCAAGACUUUGAUCAAUAGCUGAUUUGAGAGGAUGAUCAGCCACAUUGGGACUGAGACACGGCCCAAACUCCUACGGGAGGCAGCAGUAGGGAAUCUUGCACAAUGGGGGAAACCCUGAUGCAGCGAUGCCGCGUGAGUGAAGAAGGCCUUUGGGUUGUAAAGCUCUUUCGUCGGGGAAGAAAAUGACUGUACCCGAAUAAGAAGGUCCGGCUAACUUCGUGCCAGCAGCCGCGGUAAUACGAAGGGACCUAGCGUAGUUCGGAAUUACUGGGCUUAAAGAGUUCGUAGGUGGUUAAAAAAGUUGGUGGUGAAAUCCCAGAGCUUAACUCUGGAACUGCCAUCAAAACUUUUUAGCUAGAGUAUGAUAGAGGAAAGCAGAAUUUCUAGUGUAGAGGUGAAAUUCGUAGAUAUUAGAAAGAAUACCGAUUGCGAAGGCAGCUUUCUGGAUCAUUACUGACACUGAGGAACGAAAGCAUGGGUAGCGAAGAGGAUUAGAUACCCUCGUAGUCCAUGCCGUAAACGAUGUGUGUUAGACGUUGGAAAUUUAUUUUCAGUGUCGCAGCGAAAGCAAUAAACACACCGCCUGGGGAGUACGACCGCAAGGUUAAAACUCAAAUGAAUUGACGGGGACCCGCACAAGUAGUGGAGCAUGUGGUUUAAUUCGAAGAUACGCGCAGAACCUUACCAACACUUGACAUGUUCGUCGCGACUUUAAGAGAUUAAAGUUUUCGGUUCGGCCGGACGAAACACAGGUGCUGCAUGGCUGUCGUCAGCUCGUGUCGUGAGAUGUUGGGUUAAGUCCCGCAACGAGCGCAACCCCUACUUUUAGUUGCCACCAUUCAGUUGGGCACUUUAAAAGAACUGCCAGUGAUAAGCUGGAGGAAGGUGGGGACGACGUCAAGUCCUCAUGGCCCUUACGGGAUGGGCUACACACGUGCUACAAUGGUAUCUACAACAGGAAGCAAAACCGCGAGGUUAAGCAAAUCCUUAAAAGAUACCUCAGUUCGGAUUGCACUCUGCAACUCGAGUGCAUGAAGCUGGAAUUACUAGUAAUCGUGGAUCAGCGUGCCACGGUGAAUGCGUUCCCGGGUCUUGUACACACCGCCCGUCACACCAUGGGAGUUGGUUCUACCUUAAGGCAAGGUUUUAAACCCUUGACCACGGUAUAGUCAGCGACUGGGGUGAAGUCGUAACAAGGUAGCCGUA